rnacentral:rRNA from 1 species
GGCUCACCAAGGCGACGAUGCGUAGCCGACCUGAGAGGGUGAUCGGCCACACUGGGACUGAGACACGGCCCAGACUCCUACGGGAGGCAGCAGUAGGGAAUCUUCCGCAAUGGACGAAAGUCUGACGGAGCAACGCCGCGUGAGUGAUGAAGGUUUUCGGAUCGUAAAACUCUGUUGUCGGGGAAGAACAAGUAUGAUAGUAACUGAUCGUACCUUGACGGUACCCGACCAGAAAGCCACGGCUAACUACGUGCCAGCAGCCGCGGUAAUACGUAGGUGGCAAGCGUUGUCCGGAAUUAUUGGGCGUAAAGCGCUCGCAGGCGGUUCUUUAAGUCUGAUGUGAAAUCUUGCGGCUCAACCGCAAACGUGCAUUGGAAACUGGAGGACUUGAGUGCAGAAGAGGAGAGUGGAAUUCCACGUGUAGCGGUGAAAUGCGUAGAGAUGUGGAGGAACACCAGUGGCGAAGGCGACUCUCUGGUCUGUAACUGACGCUGAGGAGCGAAAGCGUGGGGAGCGAACAGGAUUAGAUACCCUGGUAGUCCACGCCGUAAACGAUGAGUGCUAGGUGUUAGGGGGUUUCCGCCCCUUAGUGCUGAAGUUAACGCAUUAAGCACUCCG